rnacentral:rRNA from 1 species
UGUAUAGCAAUAGCUGAUUGCACCAACAAAUAGUUGAUGCAAUAUUGACUCUGUCAAAUAAAAUUCUAGGUAGAAUUAUGAUAAUGACAUUGUCUGCCUAUAUGUCUUGACCAAAUUACGUGCCAGCAGUCGCGGUAAUACGUAGAAGACUAGUGUUAUUCAUCUUUAAUAGGUUUAAAGGGUACCUAGACGGUAAAUCAAGCCUUCACAGGGACUAAUUUACUAGAGUUACUUACGAGGGGGUAUUAAAGUACUGCAGGUGUAGAGAUGAAAUUCUGUCAUACCUCUUUUCAAAAGAAAAAUUAUGGCACAGGUAUAGGUGAAAGCAUCCCCUUAUGUGAUAACUGACGUUGAAGGACGAAGGCUUUGUGUCGCGAACAGGAUUAGAUACCCCAGUAGUCAAAGCAGAAAAUGAUGAAUGUCAUAGAUUAGAUAAAUAGUUUAUUCUAUAAAUGAAAAUGUAAGCAUUCCACCUCAAGAGUAAUUUGGCAACAUUGGAACUGAAAUCAUUAGACCGUUUCUGAAACCAGUAGUGAAGUAUGUUGUUUAAUUUGAUGAUCCGCAAAAAACCUUACCACAAUUUGAAUAUUUAUAUAUAUCUUUUUUUUUCGUAAAAAAAUAAAAAGGUAAUAUAUUUACAAGCGUUGCACGGCUGUCUUCAGUUAAUGUCGCGAGACUUUGGUUAGUUCCAUUAAAUUAACGUAAACCCUUACUUUAUUUUCAUAUGAAGUAGUUCCCCCCGCUAUAUUGGAUAUGAUAACAGGGACUAAGACAAGUCAUCAUGGCC